rnacentral:rRNA from 1 species
CCUACGGGAGACAGCAGUGAGGAAUAUUGGUCAAUGGUCGGGAGCCUGAACCAGCCAAGCCGCGUGAGGGAGGAAGGUACAGCGUAUCGUAAACCUCUUUUGUCAGGGAACAAAGGCGGGGACGUGUCCCCGGAUGAGUGUACCUGAAGAAAAAGCAUCGGCUAACUCCGUGCCAGCAGCCGCGGUAAUACGGAGGAUGCGAGCGUUAUCCGGAUUUAUUGGGUUUAAAGGGUGCGCAGGCGGUCUGUUAAGUCAGCGGUCAAAGCCCGGGGCUCAACCCCGGCCCGCCGUUGAAACUGGCAGUCUCGAGUUGGAGAGAAGUAUGCGGAAUGCGCGGUGUAGCGGUGAAAUGCAUAGAUAUCGCGCAGAACUCCGAUUGCGAAGGCAGCGUGCCGGCUCCACACUGACGCUGAGGCACGAAAGCGUGGGUAUCGAACAGGAUUAGAUACCCUAGUAGUC